rnacentral:rRNA from 1 species
GCUUGUCUCAAAGAUUAAGCCAUGCAUGUCUUAGUGUAAAUAACUCUUAUGAAACUGCGAAUGGCUCAUUAAAUCAGUUAUCAAAUACGUGAUGGUCGCCUACUACAUGGAUAACCGUAGUAAUUCUAGAGCUAAUACAUGCAAAAAAACCCAGACUUACGAAUGGGUGCACUUAUUAGAUAAAGCCAACGCUGGGUAAAACCAGUUUCCCUUGGUGAUUCAUAAUAAUUAAGCGGAUCGCAUGGCCUUGUGCUAGCGACAGUCCACUCGAUUUUCUGCCCUAUCAUGGUUGAGAUUGUAAGAUAGAGGCUUACAAUGCCUACAACGGGUAACGGGGAAUUAGGGUUCGAUUCCGGAGAGGGAGCCUGAGAAACGGCUACCACAUCCAAGGAAGGCAGC